ensembl:lncRNA
AGACAGACCUAGAUACACACCAAACAGUAAUUAUAGCACUACAUGCUGGAAGUGUGGAAAAAAGGGACAUUUUGCACGUGACUGUAAGACACAGAGAACGCCCACACAGAAUGAUUAGCUGCAACCACUGUGGCUGUCAGACAGAUGAAAGAGAGAGACAGAAAAAACAAAAUAAAAUGAACAAAAGGCUAAAUUGAAUUAGAACUUAACUGUAAUGUAUUCAAAAUGAUAAUAGCAAGGAUAGCAACCUGUAAACUGGUAUUAACAAUAGAAUGAAAGAAAAUACAUAACUCACACAAACACAUAUUAAAUGAAAUAGAGAGAUGCAUAAGGUAUAUUAAGGUUGUGUCAUUGUUCAGCCAAGGAAAGUGUGUGAAAAGGAAAAUGUCUCCAGCUUGGGAAGGGGUGAAACUGCAGAUCACCCCCAUCCCUCCUCGAUGCAUGCAAAAUAAAAUAUAAAUAAAAUAUUGUAAUAUACUAUUGCUGUUAUAUAAAAAGAUAAUAACAUUAAUAAUAACAUAAUAUUAAUAUGAAGAGGCACCUCAGUCAGCUAUGAUGUGAGAUGGAUAAUUGUUAAAAGUAAUCUGCAUCAAGCUUAAGGUUUGCUCAAAUUCAGUAUAAUGACAUAUGAGAUGAAGAAAAUAAAGAAAAUAUCUAAACUAAUCAGGUGCAUAGAGACACUUGACCUGCUUGAAAACCUGUCAUCCUAGAUGAGACAUUGUUGAGAUAUAGAGCACACCUAUACUAACAACUAACAAGCUAAACCCUGUAUACAACAGCUAAAGCUACACAAUUGAGAAGCUGAAUUAAAUAUGUGGUCACUGCUAAGCUGAUGAGCAGGAGCUGCAUAAGAACACAUCAGAGGGAGGGAAACAGCUAUUAAAGCUCAAACAUGAAGCUGUCUGUGGGCUCAGUUUUUUUCCCUCACGCUUCUGAUUUGUUUUUGGCAGCAGCCUUUUUGCAUCCUGACUCGUGUGUAAAGCGUUCAAGCCAUCAGUAACUUGUUUUUGUUUUGUUUUGUUUUUUGUUUUGUUGGUUUGAAAAAUGAAUAAAACAUAGUGGCACAUAAUGAUUAGGCAUAUGAUUUACUAAUGCAGAUGUAAUAACUUUAUUCUAAAAUUCAAGGAGAACAAACAAGAACAACAUCUUCAGUUAUGUCUUGUUGUUGUUCUCUGUGCAGUGUGCUGAGUUUUGUUUUUUGUUUCUUUUGUUUUUUGAAAUGUUGCUUGAGUGAUGAGUACUGUAACUUCUGUUCAGAGCCAGCUGAGAGCUGGGUUGUCUGUUUUGUUUUGAAAUUUAAUUUUUGUUUUGAAAAAAAAAGGGGGGGAGGUUUUGUGUUUCUCAGCAAAGAACAACUACAAUUUCAUUUUCUGUUUUUGAGAAAGGAGAAUUUAAAAUAAUAGUAAUAAUAAUAAUGAUAAUAAAACAAAGAGUGAUGUUUUGUUUAAGUGGUGAAGACAGCUAAUACUGCAAAAUACCAUUUAGUGCAUGAUCUGCGAGCAAUAAAUGAAAUCAUCUUAUUUAUCUUUAAAUAAACUCCAAUUAUGGAGACCUGAAGUCACAUGCUUAGGGCACACCCUCUCAGGUGAAGGCAGAAAGCUACUAAACAAAGAAAAGAAGCUAUACAAAAUGCGCCACAGCCACAAACUAAGCAUUCAUAUUCUUUCUAACUCUUAGUGAGCCUGAGUUAUGACCUUGGCUCCCUGUUUUUCUGCUUCCACCAAAGGUGGGGGUGACGCUCCCGUGGCAUGUGCUCUGUUCUUUUUACUAUCACAAAGAAAAAAAAAGAGAGAGGCCCCUACUCUCUGAAUACAAUAUUCUUUUCAUAACUCGGCAGUAUGAAAUGUCAUGAAACAGUGUAACUCACUCACAAUAAAUCAGCAGUAUAGGAUAAUACAAACCUAUCUAAUAAAUCUAAUGAUUUUCACAUUCUUUUAACUCAGAAGUAUGAUGAGGCCUACAGCAGUAUCAUGAUUCACUCAUUUUGAUUAUAGGUAUAAUGUAAUAUAUAACAGCAUAAUAAUCUCACAACUGCUUCAAGCACAUUUGCCUUUCUUAACACACGCGAGAGAAAGGCAACUGUUGAGAAAAUGCUCUUUUGGGUGAAACAGUCCCAGAGGCCUUGCAUGCAAGCUACUAACACACAUACAUGCAAUGAAGAGCAGCUUACACUACAGCACACACUAUACAUGCGCCUAUAUCUCUCAUUAGUGUUAAAACAGGGAAAACUUAAUAGUUUUGUUAUCAAAUGCUGAAGUUUAUCCACUACUAACAAAUAAACUCUCUGGGUUGCAGGACAACAACUUCAAAAAGAACGAGACUGGUAUGACCAACCAGUGAUGAAACAACAAAUUUAGUGGUUAAGAGUCAAAUUGUGAGAUGUUUUCUGCUGAUUGAAUCAUACAAGUGAUUACUGAAGGAAGGAAAAUUCCUUUUUUGUGCUUUUAAAC